AUGUUUGAAUUAAUUCCUAUUUAUUUUAAUAUGAUCUCACUUUAUGUAAGUAAGUCAUAUAUGUAUUUUAGUAUUGAGUUCCAAACUCCUUUUUUUGUUUUUUUUUGUUGCAUUUUUGUCUUCUGUUUUGUGUUUCCUUGUCCACCCAUGCCAUCCCAGGAGAUAGAUGAUGCAAUAGAUACAUGUGAGUUAGAUCUGAAUGGCCCCUGUGGAUCUGGCCCUGUGAGCUCCGGCGGUAGAGAGAGGGAUGCACACUUUAGAGCUCAACGCAACCCCGAAGAAAGAAACAAAGCGGGGGAUAUCGUUCCAUGGGAGAAUCGUUACGAGAAGCUCUGGGUAGAGGUGGAGAAAAGAGAGGUCAAAUCCACCUUCAAGCACGUUGCCGGGGAAUUGAAAGAGAAGUUCGGAGAACUGCUUAAAUCGAGAAGCUCUGCUGGAGACGUCGCAGAAGACGAACCGGCCGAAUCUACUCCUGCGGAAGAAGAGUCGAGUGGUGAUGAGGACGAAGGGGAGGUCAUUGUGCGCCCAAUGGCCAGAGCGAGGAGCACCGUUCUUCUCCCCAUAGCUGAGCAGAGGGAGUCUGGACCGGAGUCCACUGACGACUCCGUAUGUGAGGACGAGAUGCCGCUCAGCGAGCCCCCUGAGGGCAACAUGUUUCGAGAGCCGGAUCUAGGGGAAGGCCGCCCCAGAGAUGCCAUUCAUAUGGCUUCCACUGAUGAUCGAUGCGGGCCCGUGACUGAUAGGAAGCGGAGCGCAAAACUUGGGCCAUUCCAGAAGCCACAUCUGGAUCUGAUCUCGAUGGACGGCGCUGUUAAACGAGAUGAGGCUGAGAGGAAGGAUGCCAGUUCAGAUGAGGACCCUGAGGAAGUCGCCAAGUCUGCCCCCACCCCACUGGGCAGACGCUCAGGAUCUGUCCCAGGUGUUUCUGAUGAAGAGCACAAGGACCAUAUGGAAAGAUGUAAACGUGAGGUAGGGAUCUUGAAGAAUGUCUUCCUGGAUUUGAAGGAAGGAAAGGCCCAACCGGAGAAAGAGGUAGAGGAUGGCCGCCCCUCCCAUAGUCCCUUCUUGAUCGCCUCACUUUUUCUCCAUUUCAUCAGUGUUUUAAAUUUCAUUUCUUUACAUCUGUUGUUUUAA
ensembl:lncRNA